rnacentral:misc_RNA from 1 species
GAUGAAGAACGUAGCGAAAUGCGAUAAGUAAUGUGAAUUGCAGAAUUCAGUGAAUCAUCGAAUCUUUGAACGCACAUUGCGCCCGCCAGUAUUCUGGCGGGCAUGCCUGUCUGAGCGUCAUUUCAACCCUCAUGACCCUAGGGCGUGGUGUUGGGGAUCGGCCAAAGCCCGCGAGGGACGGCCGGCCCCUAAAUCUAGUGGCGGACCCGUCGUGGCCUCCUCUGCGAAGUAGUGAUAUUCCGCAUCGGAGAGCGAUGAGCCCCUGCCGUUAAACCCCCAACUUUCCAAGGUUGACCUCAGAUCAGGUAGGAAUACCCGCUGAACUUAAGCAUAUCAAUAAGCGGAGGA